rnacentral:lncRNA from 1 species
UUUUACAUGAACUCUCCGGUACUGAAGAAAAACUACAUGUACAGACUCCAAAUUAAAUCUGCUAUAUUUAAAAAUGAGUACAAGGUAAUAAUAAAACAGAAAAGUGGAAAAAUUAAUUAAUUCCUUCCCCUUUUUGUGUACCUGUGAGAGAGAGGAAGUUAAUAAGAAAAUAGGGUUGUGAUAAUGAUGAGAGAGAAAAAAAUAUUAAAAUAAAUAUUCCAAGAGGCAGCUACAAAUCGUCAUAUGUACAUAUGUGUGUGUGUAUGGAACCUUCCUAUUUCUCUUUCUCUCUUUCUUCUCUUUUUUUUUUCUUUUUUUUCUAUCUUCUCUUUUCUUUCAUGCGCACACAUAACUUCUCUUUUUUUUUUUCUUCUUCUUUCUGCUUUCUUCUCCUCUCGGCUUGCACUUAUCUGCGUCAAGGCUUCUCCUUUUAUAGACGAGGGAAGUUGUGAAGAUCAAUUUUUCUGCCCCAAAAAUGUUCCAAAAAUCUCAUGAAUUGAUACUUGUCAAUCCGUAAGAGGUUAAAGGUAAAUCUUUUCUGAUUGCGUGUACAGCUUACUCUUAUCUUCUUUUUUUUAGGGAUGGGCUGGAACUAACAAUAUCUUCCUCCAGCCAAUGAAGGAAUGUCCACACAUUCAUUGCUCAAUUGUCACUCAGUUCUAUUGUUUUGGUGUAUA